AUAACAGUACCCACAAGAGCGAACCGCUCCUCUUCAACGUGAUAUUCGUUGUCGGCGUCAGCUUACAUAACUGAUGGCUCGCAAGAGCCUGGCGUGAAUGAGAGCCCGAAAAUUAUGAUGUUCACAUUUCCUGUGCGGUGUUAGCAAACUGUUGGAUGCGUGAGUGUUGUAUUACAAGCGUCUUGAGUAGAAUAUCUGUGUUCUCCUCAGGCAGAAUGAAGAAAAACGUACAAGCGCAAGAAAUGGGCCGCUCCACGCCUGUAGCCUAUGUGGAACACCAGGGCAACCAUAUGAAUAUUAACACCUAUUUAUUUCCUUGCUACCAUCCUGAGUGAAGGGUGACAUUCGAGACGUUUCAUGCACCUUCAGACCACUGCCAGACAAAACAAACUGUCCGUCAGUGAAUAUAUUUCCUGGGCACCAAACCGUCUACGAAAUACAUGAGAGUCGAAGAGGAGCCAUGUGAGUGGAUCAGCAGCAAGGAUGCUUCCUUUGUUCAUAAUACUAAAAGACUUCAAAGCAAUGAAGUUGGCUCUUACCUAGAUCGUACUUGUUGUGCUCACCAUCGUGAACGGGUGCAGGAAAACACAUAAAUGUAGCGACGAAUUUAUGAGCAGCACAUUCAGUGCAGGUAACUGAUGGCAACACAAGACAUUUCCUGCUAUUGUGAGCUGGCAGUGAGAACAUACUAAGUACCUGUCUUAAAAAUUACCAUCAGAAAUGUAAGGAGUCGUGGUUGUUGUCGUGAGCUGAGCUGUCAGCUGUCGUUCUGAGUAUUCUGUCAUUGGUCUGUCUGAGCUUUCCAUUGCACUCGUUCGCCAUGCUGAUAAGCUGCAUGCACUAUAUUGUACUACUACUUUUGUGAUAUGCAGGAUGGCAUAGCAACAUGUUAUAUAAACAUUAAUGUGAUUGUUAUGUAUUUUAAAAGAUAAGGGAUUGCACGAGGUAGCAAGAACUGUCUCAGCAGAAACGCGAAGAAACUGCUGCAGCUUCAUACAGGAUGUCCCAGUACCUACGUUAAAGAUUUGUAACGAAGGCAUGCGGCCAACAGUAUUUCGCUCCAUUAUGUCUCCACGGCCUCAUGUAGUGGGCUUCAUUUCUUAUGAGCUUUAUCAUGACGAUCUUUGAGCAAGCAGCUCAGUAAGUUACCCAGUCAAGGCCACUCAGGCAUAUCGAUCAUCACAAGCUUCGCAGAUAAAUAAAGACUGAAAAACUACAUGUUCCUCGUCUGACCUAUUGAGCAUGCUUUUGCUCCCCAUGCGACAAGAGGUUCGCAAGCUGAGCCAAAGCAACUGCAGGAGCAGAGAACAACAACAACAAAAUGUAAAGGAGAGAGGGUAAGAUUGGGGGUGUAAUUGGCGACAGAUAUAUUUGAUGCAGGUCAGCGUGCAGCAACCCUCUUAUCUGUGAUGCUGCCCUGCAAACUUUUUUUAUAACCACUUUCCCCCCUAGGUUUGUGUAGAGUUACUCACAACCCCUCUCUAAGCACGGAUGGAGUGAAGGCAUGCUGAAUUCCCUAUGCGCGGAACUGUAGAGGUGCCACAAGGCAUCAUUUUCUGGGUAUCUUUGUCAUUAUGCUUGGUUCAUGAAUUACGAUCAGACUCGUGGCAAAAUGGAGUAAUGUUUAGAUGGGCUUCUCUUUGGUGCCGUGCAAAUGUAGUCUUAACUAGGGAGAUUGCAUUUUUGAUAAAUCGUGUGAUGAUAAACUUCGGAACAAAUUAAUCCUUCUGAAACAUUACAAGGUGACAAAACAAAAUGCGAUCAAAUACGAAUGACUGCAUGUGUCUACCUAGCGACUUUUCUUGUUGUUUUCUUAUAUGGGUGUCUGUCAUCUUACAGUGUUGCAGCGCUUUCUUCAUGCUUAUGCCGUGGCCAUAUUACAAUAUAUUGCCUUAUCGUUUAAGACGGGUAACAGUAUGAAAAAUUAGGCUUCUGCAUUGCCUUUGUGGUUUUGUUUUCGGUACAAAACAUUAUCUUAUUUGUAAUGUGCCUGAGAAAGUAUGCUCGUUCAUUCAAGCUAACUUUCUUUGCCUAUUUAAUGAUAUGUCAUAUUUGUGUGAAUGUGUAAAAUGCUACAUAAACUUUAUCCUUCAGAGCAGGAAACUGUUUUGACAUUUUGUUCGUUGUCAAUAACACACAGUUUAUUUGCUUAUUGUUUACCUGAAAGAGCAUGAUCCAGUUCUGCUAUAGCUGCUUAUUUCAUUUUAGACAAAUUUGUGAAUGCACCAAACGAGCAUAGAACAGUACUUGUCAGCUUUUUAGAGCAGAAAACUGUUGGAACAGCUAAUGUUCUACUGUGUUUUCACUCUUCCGCUCAGGACAGCUCUUUGAUUCAUAAUGGGCCAGAACAAGAAUGCUAGUUCAUUAACAAAUUUCCUUGACUUAAUGGUACAGGUUAUAUGCCAUUUAGUGUAACAUUGCCUUAUUAUUUGUGUUCACUUUUCUAAAAUGGUUUGCACACGUGUCAAUGCCAUCUACUUUAUUGUGCUAGAAAAUAUGUCAAACGUAAUAACUCCUUGUUGAUACAGUGGUUUCAGUCCCCCUAAAUUGUCAUUAUGCUUGCCUAUUCAGUGUCUUUGUGCUACAAUUGUACUUACCGGGCCACAACUGCGACCAAGUGAGCUUUACUGUUCCCUGUCGGCACAAAGAGACUACAAUAAACUUGUCUGUAUUUUGU